UGGGGAAUAUUGCACAAUGGGGGAAACCCUGAUGCAGCGACGCCGCGUGAACGAAGAAGGUAUUCGUAUCGUAAAGUUCUGUCCUAUGGGAAGAUAAUGACAGUACCAUAGAAGAAAGCUCCGGCUAAAUACGUGCCAGUAGCCGCGGUAAUACGUAUGGAGCGAGCGUUGUCCGGAAUUAUUGGGCGUAAAGGGUACGCAGGCGGUUUAAUAAGUCGAAUGUUAAAGAUCGGGGCUCAACCCCGUAAAGCAUUGGAAACUGAUAAACUUGAGUAGUGGAGAGGAAAGUGGAAUUCCUAGUGUAGUGGUGAAAUACGUAGAUAUUAGGAGGAAUACCAGUAGCGAAGGCGACUUUCUGGACACAAACUGACGCUGAGGUACGAAAGCGUGGGGAGCAAACAGG
rnacentral:rRNA from 2 species